UUGGCUCAGUUGUUUAGAGCAUGGUGCUAAUAAUGCCAAUCUUGUGGGUUCCAUCCCCACA
rnacentral:tRNA from 1 species